CAGAAGGUAGUUUAAAAAAAAUCUAAACUUUGGGAGUUUAAUAUGUGGGCUUUCCACUCUUCUGA
rnacentral:tRNA from 1 species